GAACGGGGAGCAGCCCAGAGCCUGAAUCAGUAUGUGUGUUAGUGGAAGCGUCUGGAAAGGCGCGCGAUACAGGGUGACAGCCCCGUACACAAAAAUGCACAUGCUGUGAGCUCGAUGAGUAGGGCGGGACACGUGGUAUCCUGUCUGAAUAUGGGGGGACCAUCCUCCAAGGCUAAAUACUCCUGACUGACCGAUAGUGAACCAGUACCGUGAGGGAAAGGCGAAAAGAACCCCGGCGAGGGGAGUGAAAAAGAACCUGAAACCGUGUACGUACAAGCAGUGGGAGCACGCUUAGGCGUGUGACUGCGUACCUUUUGUAUAAUGGGUCAGCGACUUAUAUUCUGUAGCAAGGUUAACCGAAUAGGGGAGCCGAAGGGAAACCGAGUCUUAACUGGGCGUUAAGUUGCAGGGUAUAGACCCGAAACCCGGUGAUCUAGCCAUGGGCAGGUUGAAGGUUGGGUAACACUAACUGGAGGACCGAACCGACUAAUGUUGAAAAAUUAGCGGAUGACUUGUGGCUGGGGGUGAAAGGCCAAUCAAACCGGGAGAUAGCUGGUUCUCCCCGAAAGCUAUUUAGGUAGCGCCUCGUGAAUUCAUCUCCGGGGGUAGAGCACUGUUUCGGCAAGGGGGUCAUCCCGACUUACCAACCCGAUGCAAACUGCGAAUACCGGAGAAUGUUAUCACGGGAGACACACGGCGGGUGCUAACGUCCGUCGUGAAGAGGGAAACAACCCAGACCGCCAGCUAAGGUCCCAAAGUCAUGGUUAAGUGGGAAACGAUGUGGGAAGGCCCAGACAGCCAGGAUGUUGGCUUAGAAGCAGCCAUCAUUUAAAGAAAGCGUAAUAGCUCACUGGUCGAGUCGGCCUGCGCGGAAGAUGUAACGGGGCUAAACCAUGCAC
rnacentral:rRNA from 1 species